rnacentral:rRNA from 1 species
GACGAACGCUGGCGGCGGGCUUAACACAUGCAAGUCGAACGGAAAGGCCCUGCUUUUGUGGGGUGCUCGAGUGGCGAACGGGUGAGUAACACGUGAGUAACCUGCCCUUGACUUUGGGAUAACUUCAGGAAACUGGGGCUAAUACCGGAUAGGAGCUCCUGCUGCAUGGUGGGGGUUGGAAAGUUUCGGCGGUUGGGGAUGGACUCGCGGCUUAUCAGCUUGUGGGUGGGGUAGGGGCUUACCAAGGCUUUGACGGGUAGCCGGCCUGAGAGGGUGACCGGCCACAUUGGGACUGAGAUACGGCCCAGACUCCUCCGGGAGGCAGCAGUGGGGUAUAGUGCACUAUGGGCGGAAGCCUGAUGCAGCACCGCCGCGUGCGGUGUGACGGCCUUCGGUUUGUAAUCCGCUUUCGCCUUUGACGAAGCGUGAGUGACGGUAAUGGGUAAAGAAGCACCGGCUAACUACGUG